rnacentral:rRNA from 1 species
AGUCGAGCGAACAGAUAAGGAGCUUGCUCCUUUGACGUUAGCGGCGGACGGGUGAGUAACACGUGGGUAACCUACCUAUAAGACUGGGAUAACUUCGGGAAACCGGAGCUAAUACCGGAUAACAUUUGGAACCGCAUGGUUCUAAAGUGAAAGAUGGUUUUGCUAUCACUUAUAGAUGGACCCGCGCCGUAUUAGCUAGUUGGUAAGGUAACGGCUUACCAAGGCGACGAUACGUAGCCGACCUGAGAGGGUGAUCGGCCACACUGGAACUGAGACACGGUCCAGACUCCUACGGGAGGCAGCAGUAGGGAAUCUUCCGCAAUGGGCGAAAGCCUGACGGAGCAACGCCGCGUGAGUGAUGAAGGGUUUCGGCUCGUAAAACUCUGUUAUUAGGGAAGAACAAACGUGUAAGUAACUGUGCACGUCUUGACGGUACCUAAUCAGAAAGCCACGGCUAACUACGUGCCAGCAGCCGCGGUAAUACGUAGGUGGCAAGCGUUAUCCGGGAAUUAUUGGGCGUAAAGCGCGCGUAGGCGGUUUCUUAAGUCUGAUGUGAAAGCCCACGGCUCAACCGUGGAGGGUCAUUGGAAACUGGGAAACUUGAGUGCAGAAGAGGAAAGUGGAAUUCCAUGUGUAGCGGUGAAAUGCGCAGAGAUAUGGAGGAACACCAGUGGCGAAGGCGACUUUCUGGUCUGUAACUGACGCUGAUGUGCGAAAGCGUGGGGAUCAAACAGGAUUAGAUACCCUGGUAGUCCACGCCGUAAACGAUGAGUGCUAAGUGUUAGGGGGUUUCCGCCCCUUAGUGCUGCAGCUAACGCAUUAAGCACUCCGCCUGGGGAGUACGACCGCAAGGUUGAAACUCAAAGGAAUUGACGGGGACCCGCACAAGCGGUGGAGCAUGUGGUUUAAUUCGAAGCAACGCGAAGAACCUUACCAAAUCUUGACAUCCUUUGAAAACUCUAGAGAUAGAGCCUUCCCCUUCGGGGGACAAAGUGACAGGUGGUGCAUGGUUGUCGUCAGCUCGUGUCGUGAGAUGUUGGGUUAAGUCCCGCAACGAGCGCAACCCUUAAGCUUAGUUGCCAUCAUUAAGUUGGGCACUCUAGGUUGACUGCCGGUGACAAACCGGAGGAAGGUGGGGAUGACGUCAAAUCAUCAUGCCCCUUAUGAUUUGGGCUACACACGUGCUACAAUGGACAAUACAAAGGGCAGCUAAACCGCGAGGUCAUGCAAAUCCCAUAAAGUUGUUCUCAGUUCGGAUUGUAGUCUGCAACUCGACUACAUGAAGCUGGAAUCGCUAGUAAUCGUAGAUCAGCAUGCUACGGUGAAUACGUUCCCGGGUCUUGUACACACCGCCCGUCACACCACGAGAGUUUGUAACACCCGAAGCCGGUGGAGUAACCAUUUAUGGAG